rnacentral:rRNA from 1 species
GAAUAAGCGAGUAAGGGCGCACGGUGGAUGCCUAGGCACUAGGAGCCGAAGAAGGACGGGGCGAACGCCGAAACGCCUCGGGGAGCUGUAAGCGAGCGUCGAUCCGGGGAUGUCCGAAUGGGGGAACCCACUGUCUGUGAUGGGGCAGUAUCCUUAAGCUGAAUGCAUAGGCUAAGGAAGGCAACCGAGGGAACUGAAACAUCUCAGUACCUCGAGGAGAAGAAAGCAAACGCGAUUCCCUAAGUAGCGGCGAGCGAACGGGGAGGAGCCCAAACCGGGGAACCGGGGUUGUAGGACGCUCCAAGAGGAGUCAGAAAAAAGGUAGGUAGACGAAGGGACUUGGAAAAGUCCGCCAUAGGAGGUAAAAGCCCUGUAGUCGAAACCUAACUUUCUCCGGAGCGGAUCCUGAGUACCGCGGGGCACGAGGAACCCCGUGGGAAGCAGGGAGGCCCACCUCCCAAGGCUAAAUACUCCCUAGUGACCGAUAGUGAACCAGUACCGUGAGGGAAAGGUGAAAAGCACCGCGGGAGCGGAGUGAAAGAGAACCUGAAACCGUGUGCCUACAAGCAGUCGGAGCCCGUUUAAGGGUGACGGCGUGCCUUUUGUAGAAUGAACCGGCGAGUGACGGCAGCAUGCGAGGUUAAGGGGGAGACCCGGAGCCGAAGCGAAAGCGCGUCUUAAGAGGGCGGAAGUAUGCAGCCGUCGACCCGAAACCGGGUGAUCUACCCAUGUCCAGGGUGAAGGUAGGGUAAAGCCUACUGGAGGCCCGAACCCACUACUGUUGAAAAAGUAGGGGAUGAGGUGUGGGUAGGGGUGAAAAGCCAAACGAACCCGGAGAUAGCUGGUUCUCCCCGAAAUCGCUUUAGGGCGAGCCUUAAGAUAGCACAUGGGAGGUAGAGCACUGAUUGGGUGCGGGGUCCGCGAGGAUUACCAAGCCUAGUCAAACUCCGAAUGCCCAGAGUGUGUUUCUUAGGAGUCAGACGACGAGCGCUAAGGUCCGUCGUCGAGAGGGAAAGAGCCCAGACCACCCGCUAAGGUCCCGAAAGGUGUGCUCAGUGGCAAACGAUGUGGUGCUGCGAAGACAACCAGGAUGUUGGCUUAGAAGCAGCCACCAUUGAAAGAGUGCGUAAUAGCUCACUGGUCGAGUGGUGCUGCGCGGAAAAUGUAACGGGGCUUAAGCACACUACCGAAGCGAUGGGUACGUAAAGUACGGUAGGGGAGCGUUCCCUUGACGUAGAAGGAUGACCGUGAGGACAUCUUAAGUUAAGGGAAGUGAGAAUGCCGGUGUGAGUAACGAAAAGACGGGUGAGAAUCCCGUCCGCCGAAAGCCUAAGGUUUCCUGAGGAAGGUUCGUCCGCUCAGGGUGAGUCGGGACCUAAGGCGAGGCCGAAAGGCGUAGUCGAUGGGAAACAGGUUCAUAUUCCUGUACCACACCGAACCGAUUGAGCGAAGGGGUGACGCAGGAGGCAAGUGUUUGCGCGCGGGAUGGAAGAGCGCGUCCAAGCGGCAAGAGGGGUGGAUAGGCAAACCCGUCCACCGUGACCUUAAGCCGUGAUGGGGAGGGAAAAAGAGUACCGAAGAAACAUGCGUCAAACUGCCAAGAAAAGCCUCUAGCGAGGUUUAGGUGUGCCCGUACCGCAAACCGACACAGGUGGGCGAGGAGAGGAUCCUAAGGCGCGCGAGAGAACUCUUGCUAAGGAACUCGGCAAAAAGACCCCGUAACUUCGGGAGAAGGGGUGCCCCUCGUGAGGGGGGCCGCAGAGAAAUGGCCCAAGCGACUGUUUAGCAAAAACACAGGUCUCUGCGAAGCCGUAAGGCGACGUAUAGGGGCUGACGCCUGCCCGGUGCUGGAAGGUUAAGGGGAAAGGUAAGCGGGGAACUGCGAAGCUUUGAACCGAAGCCCCAGUAAACGGCGGCCGUAACUAUAACGGUCCUAAGGUAGCGAAAUUCCUUGUCGGGUAAGUUCCGACCCGCACGAAAGGCGUAACGACUUGGGCGCUGUCUCGGCAAGAGGCUCGGUGAAAUCGUAAUACCUGUGAAGAUGCAGGUUACCCGCGACUAGACGGAAAGACCCCAUGGAGCUUUACUGUAGCCUGAUAUUGUGGCGGGCCUGUCGAUGUACAGGAUAGGUAGGAGCCUAAGAAGCAUGCUCGUCAGGGUAUGUGGAGGCGAUGGUGGGAUACUACCCUUCGAUAGGCUAGCGACUCACCAGAGGCCCUAAGCGGGUCAUGGGACAGUGUCAGGUGGGCAGUUUGACUGGGGCGGUCGCCUCCUAAAGGGUAACGGAGGCGUCCCAAAGGUCCCCUCAGCGCGGAUGGAAAUCGCGCGGAGCGUGCAAAGGCGAGAAGGGGGCUUGACUGCGAGACCGACGGGUCGAGCAGGGACGAAAGUCGGGCUUAGUGAUCCGGUGGUUCCGAGUGGAAGGGCCAUCGCUCAACGGAUAAAAGCUACCCCGGGGAUAACAGGCUAAUCUCCCCAAGAGUCCACAUCGACGGGGAGGUUUGGCACCUCGAUGUCGGCUCAUCGCAUCCUGGGGCUGGAGUAGGUCCCAAGGGUUGGGCUGUUCGCCCAUUAAAGCGGUACGCGAGCUGGGUUCAGAACGUCGUGAGACAGUUCGGUCCCUAUCUGUCGUGGGCGUAGGAAAUUUGAGGGGAACUGACCCUAGUACGAGAGGACCGGGAUGGACGUACCGCUGGUGUACCAGUUGUGCCGCCAGGUGCAUCGCUGGGUAGCCAAGUACGGAAGAGAUAAGCGCUGAAAGCAUCUAAGCGCGAAGCUCACCCCAAGAUGAGAUUUCCCACUGGCUUAAGCCAGGUAAGACCCCUUGUAGACGACGAGGUUGAUCGGUCCUGGGUGGAAGUGUGGUAACACAUGAAGCUUUGGGAUACGAAUCGGUCGAGGGCUUAUUCAU